ensembl:Y_RNA Y_RNA Y RNA
GGUUAGUCCGAGUGGUGUUUACAGCUUAUUGAUCACAACAAGUUACAGAUUUCUUUGUUCCUUCCCCACUCCCACUGCUUCAAAUUGACUAGCAUUAA